ACGACCUUACUUGAACAGGAUCUGUUCUAUAGGAUCGUACCUCUGUAUCCUUGAGUUCUUAGGAGACAGGAACCUCAGUCUGGUCGAUGAAUCAUGACCGUGCGGUCAUAGCGUGAUUAAUGGCUCCUGAUCAUGUAGAUCGUGUAGUUGUAGAUGAUCGUUCUUAGCGCGUCAUUUGACGGCUGAGAUGGUCGUGCGGUUGUCUGACAGACU
rnacentral:snoRNA from 1 species